UUAAUAUUUGCAGAGUGGUUCAGCUCUUUUCUCUGUCCCGCCUGUCAAAAAGAUGCUAUUCCUGUGAUUAAAACCAUUACAGUCCUUCAAAGGUUAUACAUGACUUUCAGGCUUCAGCCUCAAUAGCAGAGUACUAAAUCUUCAUUCGAGUUUUGUUCUUCAGGAAGAAAAAUUACAAUGUGAGAGAAUUCUUCUUUAGAUCCUUUGUGAAACAAGAUGGUACUAAUUUGAACACAUCAUUCCAUGCUUCCUGGAGUAAUCACACAGCUUGCUUAGAUUUUCUAAACAUGACUGAACUGUGAUGAAGCGAUCAACAUUCACUGGCAAGCAAAAUUGCCUUACAGGGCGGAAAUGAUCUGAUCGUGGUGAAAAUGCUUGCAGCAAAGAUGCUUACUUAGAACCAUUAAACAUAUGAACUUCUGCUCUGGAGAAGAUGGAGUAGAUGUAUUCUCCCUACUUCUUCCACUAUCUGCAACUAAAACCAUAGACAUUAAAUAUAAAGACACUGAAAGGUGGAGAGAAGGCAGAGCAACUAGGGAAAUCAGGACCCAAGAAAGAGCACACUGUUCUCUGAGGCUCAGCUCCUGUACAAUGAUCAAGACUAUUGUACCUGAUGCUAGACCAUCGGCCAGGAUUUGAACAUAUUUCCUUCUGCUGCCCAUUUACUAGGGAAAUACCUAUUACUCCUUUCUGGACGUCUCUGACACUGCCUGUCCUCACUGCUACAUAUUACCAACCAUCAAAGUUCAUGGCACUAGUCUUCAGCCAGCAUCUGGUGAAAACAAUGGAAUUCUCUCAGAGUUGGGAAACCCCUGGAAGUUGAGUCACAAUGGCCUGGUUUGAGAUGUAAGGAGUAAGAGGCAGGUGUUGCUGAAAAGCAUCAAUUCCAGCUGAACAGGGAGAACACUGAAGUAUGAAGAAGUGUUGCACUGAAAGAAUGAGAAGGAAAGGAUGCCGAGGAAACCAGGGAAAAGGUACACCAUGUCUCAAAGUUCUGUGGUUUACCACCUCAAGGAUAGAGAAGUGGAGUAAAAUUGGGUGAUGCUGAUUUCAGAAGGCAGAAGGAAUUAAAAGAUGCUACCAAGAUAACAGAUCUGGAUGUGCCAGAAGUAAACAAUUAUGCCAUUACCCACAGUCCCUAUUAGGACUUCCAGAGAAGUAGCAUCAUCAGGAAGGAAUCAGACUUACAUUUAUAUGAGCAGGUACAAUACUGGAGAAGGAAGGAUGAAGGAGAUUAUGACGUAGGUCAGACCAGUGUUAGGGAGGGCAAGAGUUUUCUUCUUCGUGGACUAGAGCUUAGUGAACCGGAUGUUUUUAUUCAAAUAAUAUAAAGAUUAGGGCUAGUAUAUAGGAAAACAAAUAGAUGAAAGAGAGUUUGACUCUGCCAGCUAUGGAAUUCAGGGAAGCAUCUAGAAUUCCAUAAAAUCAAUUAAGUAAAAAAGAGAUAA